UCAGAUGUGGUGUAGGGUGCACACCAGCUCUUUGUGGGUCAGCGGUUAAAAAGCUUAGAGCUCAAAGCCGGGGUUCGACUCCCCGCAUCUGAA